rnacentral:rRNA from 1 species
AGUCGACGGACUCAUAUUGAAACCUAGUGAUUUUUGUUUUAGUGGCGGACGGGUGAGUAACGCGUGGGUAACCUGCCGUAUACAGGGGGAUAACACUUAGAAAUAGGUGCUAAUACCGCAUAAGCGCACAGCUUCGCAUGGAGCAGUGUGAAAAGCGUAAACGGUAUACGAUGGACCCGCGUCUGAUUAGCUAGUUGGCGGGGUAGAGGCCCACCAAGGCGACGAUCAGUAGCCGGCCUGAGAGGGUGACCGGCCACAUUGGGACUGAGACACGGCCCAAACUCCUACGGGAGGCAGCAGUGGGGAAUAUUGCACAAUGGGGGGAACCCUGAUGCAGCGACGCCGCGUGAGUGAAGAAGUAUUUCGGUAUGUAAAGCUCUAUCAGCAGGGAAGAAAAUGACGGUACCUGACUAAGAAGCCCCGGCUAACUACGUGCCAGCAGCCGCGGUAAUACGUAGGGGGCAAGCGUUAUCCGGAUUUACUGGGUGUAAAGGGAGCGUAGACGGUUAUGCAAGUCUGAAGUGAAAGCCCAAGGCUCAACCAUGGGACUGCUUUGGAAACUGUAAAACUGGAGUGCAGGAGAGGUAAGCGGAAUUCCUAGU